rnacentral:rRNA from 1 species
GUAGGGGGCGAGCGUUUGUCCGGAUUUAUUGGGCGUAAAGAGCUCGUAGGCGGCUCAGCAAGUCGGCCGUGAAAGCCUGAGGCUCAACCUCAGGACGCCGGUCGAAACUGCUGUGGCUAGGGUUCGGUAGAGGAGAGUGGAAUUCCCGGUGUAGCGGUGAAAUGCGCAGAUAUCGGGAGGAACACCAGUAGCGAAGGCGGCUCUCUGGGCCGAUACCGACGCUGAGGAGCGAAAGCUAGGGGAGCGAACAGGGAUUAGAUACCCUGGUAGUCCUAGCUGUAAACGUUGGGCACUAGGUGUGGCGGACUCAUUGACGUCUGCCGUGCCGAAGCUAACGCAUUAAGUGCCCCCGCCUGGGAGUACGGUCGCAAGGCUA